UACGUAGGGUGCAAGCGUUGUCCGGAAUUAUUGGGCGUAAAGGGCUCGUAGGCGGUCCAUCACGUCGGGAGUGAAAAGCUGGGGCUUAACCCCAGUCCUGCUUCCGAUACGGGUGGACUAGAGGUAGGCAGGGGAGAACGGAAUUCCUGGUGUAGCGGUGAAAUGCGCAGAUAUCAGGAGGAACACCGGUGGCGAAGGCGGGUCUCUGGGCCGUAACUGACGCUGGAGGAGCGAAAGCGUGGGGAGCGAACAGG
rnacentral:rRNA from 1 species